CUACGUGCCAGCAGCCGCGGUAAUACGUAGGUCCCGAGCGUUGUCCGGAUUUAUUGGGCGUAAAGCGAGCGCAGGCGGUUAGAUAAGUCUGAAGUUAAAGGCUGUGGCUUAACCAUAGUACGCUUUGGAAACUGUUUAACUUGAGUGCAAGAGGGGAGAGUGGAAUUCCAUGUGUAGCGGUGAAAUGCGUAGAUAUAUGGAGGAACACCGGUGGCGAAAGCGGCUCUCUGGCUUGUAACUGACGCUGAGGCUCGAAAGCGUGGGGAGCAAACAGGAUUAGAUACCCUGGUAGUCCACGCCCUAAACGAUGUCAAUUAGCUGUUGGGCAACUUGAUUGCUUAGUAGCGUAGCUAACGCGUGAAAUUGACCGCCUGGGGAGUACGGUCGCAAGAUUAAAACUCAAAGGAAUUGACGGGGACCCGCACAAGCGGUGGAUGAUGUGGAUUAAUUCGAUGCAACGCGAAGAACCUUACCUGG
rnacentral:rRNA from 1 species